GACGAACGCUGGCGGCGUGCCUAAUACAUGCAAGUAGAACGCUGAAGAGAGGAGCUUGCUCUUCUUGGAUGAGUUGCGAACGGGUGAGUAACGCGUAGGUAACCUGCCUUGUAGCGGGGGAUAACUAUUGGAAACGAUAGCUAAUACCGCAUAACAAUGGAUGACACAUGUCAUUUAUUUGAAAGGGGCAAUUGCUCCACUACAAGAUGGACCUGCGUUGUAUUAGCUAGUAGGUGAGGUAAUGGCUCACCUAGGCGACGAUACAUAGCCGACCUGAGAGGGUGAUCGGCCACACUGGGACUGAGACACGGCCCAGACUCCUACGGGAGGCAGCAGUAGGGAAUCUUCGGCAAUAGGGGCAACCCUGACCGAGCAACGCCGCGUGAGUGAAGAAGGGUUUCGGAUCGUAAAGCUCGGUUGUAAGUCAAGAACGGGUGUGAGAGUGGAAAGUUCACACUGUGACGGUAGCUUACCAGAAAGGGACGGCUAACUACGUG
rnacentral:rRNA from 1 species